rnacentral:rRNA from 1 species
CGUAGGCGGCCAUUCAAGUCGGGGGUGAAAGCCCAGGGCUCAACCCUGGAAUUGCCUUCGAUACUGUUUGGCUAGAGACCGGAAGAGGUAAGUGGAACUGCGAGUGUAGAGGUGAAAUUCGUAGAUAUUCGCAAGAACACCAGUGGCGAAGGCGGCUUACUGGUCCGGUUCUGACGCUGAGGCGCGAAAGCGUGGGGAGCAAACA